CCUACGGGAGGCAGCAGUGAGGAAUAUUGGACAAUGGGCGCAAGCCUGAUCCAGCCAUGCCGCGUGCAGGAAGAAGCAUCUAUGGUGUGUAAACUGCUUUUGUACAGGAAGAAACACUCCCUCGUGAGGGAGCUUGACGGUACUGUAAGAAUAAGGACCGGCUAACUCCGUGCCAGCAGCCGCGGUAAUAUGGAGGGUCCGAGCGUUAUCCGGAAUCAUUGGGUUUAAAGGGUCCGUAGGCGGUUUAAUAAGUCAGUGGUGAAAUCUGGUCGCUCAACGAUCAAACGGCCAUUGAUACUGUUAGACUUGAAUUAUAAGGAAGUAACUAGAAUAUGUAGUGUAGCGGUGAAAUGCUUAGAUAUUACAUGGAAUACCAAUUGCGAAGGCAGGUUACUACUUAUGGAUUGACGCUGAUGGACGAAAGCGUGGGGAGCGAAACAGGAUUAGAUACCCUGGUAGUCCACGCCGUAAACGAUGGAUACUAGCUGUUCGGAGCAAAUCUGAGUGGCUAAAGCGAAAAGUGAUAAGUAUCCCACCUGGGGAGUGCGUUCGCAAGAAAUGAAAACUNAAAAGGAAAUUGACGGCUGAGAGAGCGAGAGACACGAGGAGGAG
rnacentral:rRNA from 1 species